AUUGAACGCUGGCGGCAGGCCUAACACAUGCAAGUCGAACGGUAACAGGAAGACGCUUGCUUCUUUGCUGACGAGUGGCGGACGGGUGAGUAAUGUCUGGGAAACUGCCUGAUGGAGGGGGAUAACUACUGGAAACGGUAGCUAAUACCGCAUAACGUCGCAAGACCAAAGAGGGGGACCUUCGGGCCUCCUGCCAUCGGAUGUGCCCAGAUGGGAUUAGCUAGUAGGUGGGGUAACGGCUCACCUAGGCGACGAUCCCUAGCUGGUCUGAGAGGAUGACCAGCCACACUGGAACUGAGACACGGUCCAGACUCCUACGGGAGGCAGCAGUGGGGAAUAUUGCACAAUGGGCGCAAGCCUGAUGCAGCCAUGCCGCGUGUAUGAAGAAGGCCUUCGGGUUGUAAAGUACUUUCAGCGGGGAGGAAGGGAGUAAAGUUAAUACCUUUGCUCAUUGACGUUACCCGCAGAAGAAGCACCGGCUAACUCCGUG
rnacentral:rRNA from 1 species